AUGAACGCUGGCGAUAGGCCUAACACAUGCAAGUCGAGGGGCAGCAUAGAGUAGCAAUACUUGAUGGCGACCGGCGCACGGGUGAGUAACACGUAUGCAACCUACCUACAUCAGGGGAAUAACCCGGAGAAAUUCGGACUAAUACCGCAUAAUACAGGGAUGCCGCAUGGCAAUAUUUGUUAAAGAUUUAUCGGAUGUAGAUGGGCAUGCGUUCCAUUAGCUAGUUGGUGAGGUAACGGCUCACCAAGGCAACGAUGGAUAGGGGAACUGAGAGGUUUGUCCCCCACACUGGAACUGAGACACGGACCAGACUCCUACGGGAGGCAGCAGUGAGGAAUAUUGGUCAAUGGACGAGAGUCUGAACCAGCCAAAUCGCGUGAAGGAAAGACUGCCCUACGGGUUGUAAACUUCUUUUGUACAGGAAUAAAAGACAUUACGUGUAAUGUAUUGCAUGUACUGUACGAAUAAGCAUCGGCUAACUCCGUGCCAGCCGCUGC
rnacentral:rRNA from 1 species